GCUGGGAGAUGAUGUAAACAAAAGGCCGAAUUGUAGCGCCCCCGUCAGGCAGUGUGUUCUCAGUACGGGAGCGCCCUGACAAAGACCCCUGAAGCGUUUGUCUGAUCCCAGA
rnacentral:snoRNA from 1 species